rnacentral:lncRNA from 1 species
CGACCAUCACGUUCUCACUGCGACCCAACUACGCUUCCUCUACGACUAUACCACGCUGUUCAAGACCAUAGUACGAUUCUAGUACGCCCUUGCCGUCCUCAUCACGCUCUUCUUACGACCUGACUACGUUCACACUACGAUCAUCAUUCUCAUUGUCAUUUUCACAUAAAAUAUAUAAAAAAGCUCCCUAGAUUUUUUUUGUUUGAAUGUAAUUAUCCAUUUGCUCUAACGGCUCAACCAUGCUUCUCGUUUUUAUAUAGAUUAGACCGUUGGUUUUCCCGUUUAAAUGGUUUAACACUAGUAAUAUAACGUGCUGAUUGAUGUGAGCCAAGGCUCCGCGUUGAAGGCCGUACCUUGGCCUAUAAUGGUUUACUUUUAUAAAUUGUUACUUGGAUGGAGAGUUGUCUCAUUGGCACUCAUACCACAUCUUCCUAUAUAUAUUGAUACAUCUAUGUCAUCUCUGUUAUCGUUCACUAAAUAUCGUCAUUGAGCUUCAUGGACCAGCAAUAGGUUGUAAUUUAGGUUGGAUUGGUCGGUCCGACAUCUCUGCUUGAUCAGGAUUCGUUACUUUGCUCCCUCUGCCUCUACAUCAACUCCUACCACUAUGCCCACGUGUUCUGGUAGAUUUUGGUGGCAUGACUGUAUUGUUUCCGAGAAAUCUACGAUUUAAUCAGAAAUAGAAGGAAUUGAACUGUAUUGAUAUGGAACACGAUGUUGACGUUAUUGCUGAGAACGUAGUAAGAUCGCGCUAUGAGUAUGAACGUAGUAUAAUCGUGGUAAGAACGUGUAAUAAUACCAGUAAGAUCGUGUUGCAAUCGGAUAACUCGUGGUAUGGUCGUAGUGAGAACGUGGUAUAAUCGUAGCGGGAUCUUUGUAGAAGCGUAGAGAGGACGUAGUAGCAUCGUGAAAGCAACGAAAAUUUACAUUUUCAUGCCGCUCAUACCGCGACCUCACCACGAUCUAAAUUUAUUUUAGAUCGCGUGAGCGUGGUGCGAUCGUGGUCUAGUGGGACUGGGGCUUAAACA